UUUGAGGAGAUUCAUUUCCUUUUCUUCUCCCCAAAACAGUCGACCAUCUCCCCUCCCCAAAAGAAAUCAAAAAUCACCAUUUUCUUCCUUCAAGUUCAAUUUCGUAGAGAAAUUUCAUGUAGUAGCUGCAAUACCUUGAAAGAAAAGGUUCGAGUGGCAGUGUAGAAUGAACAAGCAAAGACUUCUAUUUCAUUAAGCGUAUCAGGUUAAGUUGUGGUGCAGAUGGAAGUGAGCAGAGCAAAUUCUUUGAUGUAUAUGUAUUAAACCAGGCUCAGGAUUCCAUGUCUUCAUAUAUGUAAUCCACAUGAAUUAUUCCGCUGCAACACUUAAUGUACUUUACUUUAUUGAUGUGUUGUACAUAUUUUAAAUCAAUAGCUUAGAGAAUUAUGUCACUUGAAAGUUAGACAACUUGUCGUUGUGUAUUGUAAGUUGUCUACUCAUGAGUUUUAAAAGUGAUUGCUUAUAAUUAUCCAAUAUUAAAGUAAUUCAUCGUUAAAGAGGGUUCAUUAUUAUUA